AGGGUUCGAUCAUGGCUCAGGAUGAACGCUGGCGGCGUGCUUAACACAUGCAAGUCGAACGAACCUUCGGGUUAGUGGCGGACGGGUGGGUAACGCGUGAGAAUCUGCCCUCAGGAGGGGGAUAACGGUUGGAAACGACCGCUAAUACCCCAUAUGCCUACUGGUGAAAUGAAUUUCGCCUGAGGAUGAGCUCGCGUCUGAUUAGCUAGUUGGUGAGGUAAUGGCUCACCAAGGCUUCGAUCAGUAGCUGGUCUGAGAGGAUGAUCAGCCACACUGGGACUGAGACACGGCCCAGACUCCUACGGGAGGCAGCAGUGGGGAAUUUUCCGCAAUGGGCGAAAGCCUGACGGAGCAACGCCGCGUGAGGGACGAAGGCCUCUGGGCUGUAAACCUCUUUUCUCAAGGAAGAAGAUAUGACGGUACUUGAGGAAUAAGCCACGGCUAAUUCCGUGCCAGCCGCCGCGGUAAUUC
rnacentral:rRNA from 1 species